AAAUUGAAGAGUUUGAUCAUGGCUCAGAUUGAACGCUGGCGGCAGGCCUAACACAUGCAAGUCGAGCGGUAGCACAGAGAGCUUGCUCUCGGGUGACGAGCGGCGGACGGGUGAGUAAUGUCUGGGAAACUGCCUGAUGGAGGGGGAUAACUACUGGAAACGGUAGCUAAUACCGCAUAAUGUCG
rnacentral:rRNA from 1 species